rnacentral:rRNA from 1 species
GACGAACGCUGGCGGCGUGCUUAACACAUGCAAGUCGAGCGGUAAGGCCUCUUCGGGGGUACACGAGCGGCGAACGGGUGAGUAACACGUGGGUGACCUGCCCUCAGCUCUGGGAUAAGCCUGGGAAACUGGGUCUAAUACCGGAUAUGACCUUUCCUCGCAUGGGGUUUGGUGGAAAGUUUUUUCGGCUGGGGAUGGGCCCGCGGCCUAUCAGCUUGUUGGUGGGGUGAUGGCCUACCAAGGCGACGACGGGUAGCCGGCCUGAGAGGGCGACCGGCCACACUGGGACUGAGACACGGCCCAGACUCCUACGGGAGGCAGCAGUGGGGAAUAUUGCGCAAUGGGCGGAAGCCUGACGCAGCGACGCCGCGUGGGGGAUGACGGCCUUCGGGUUGUAAACCUCUUUCGACCCCGACGAACUUGGACGGUAGGGGUAGAAGAAGCACCGGCCAACUACGUG